AAAAAUCUUGAUCACCAACACUUGUCUAACACUAGGCAACACGAGUGAGGCGUCGGGAAGUCAAGCCGGUGCGGACACUCGCUUAAAAGGGAAGCUUUGAGAAUGGCUGCGGAUGUAAAGAUAUGCAAAAAACCAAGCACGAAGGCGAGAACACUUGACAACCUCCUAGAAGAUGGUGCGGUGCACAUAAGGAAGUAAUUGAUCAGAACGAUCAAUUGUAUAUGAAUUAAUAUAACCCCAGUGGCAGAUAUGUAAUUAGCGAGCUCUGGAAUUUCAAGGAAAAUCGAAGAGCUACACUGGGGUUAUAUUCAUUCAUAUAUGAAUGAAUAUAACCCAAGUGGUAGAUAUGUAAUUACCUACACUGGGAUUAUAUUCAUUCAUAUCUGCUACAUUCCGAAGUGCACCCAUCAGCAAGGAUCCACAAUUUCUUGUGGUGAUACGACAUUUUGUCUCUGUAUUGUAUGUUACGGUCUUUUAUUAUCGAGUCUGUAAGUCCUGUCAAGUCUACGAAGUUGGUAUGACGUGUU